rnacentral:rRNA from 1 species
GCUCAGAUGAACSCUAGCGGCAGGCUUAACACAUGCAAGUCGAGGGGCAGCAUGAGGGUUAGCAAUAACCCUUGAUGGUGACCGGCGCAAGGGUGCGUAACGCGUGAGCAACUUGCCCGUUUCAGGGGGAUAACCGGUGGAAACGCCGACUAAUACCCCAUGGCAUCAGUUGAAGGCAUCUUCUACUGAUUAAAGAAUUUCGGAAACGGAUAGGCUCGCGUGACAUUAGCUAGAUGGCGGGGUAACGGCCCACCAUGGCGACGAUGUCUAGGGGUUCUGAGAGGAAGGUCCCCCACACUGGAACUGAGACACGGUCCAGACUCCUACGGGAGGCAGCAGUGAGGAAUAUUGGUCAAUGGUCAGACGACUGAACCAGCCAUGCCGCGUGAAGGUCACGGCCCUAUGGGUCUUAAACUUCUUUURUAAGRRARCAAUAAGGGUCACGUGUGGCCUGAUGAGAGUACCUUACGAAUAAGCAUCGGCUAACUCCGUGCCAGCAGCCGCGGUAAUACGGAGGAUGCGAGCGUUAUCCGGAAUUAUUGGGUUUAAAGGGUGCGUAGGCUGUUUGUUAAGUCAGGGGUGAAAUACCGCAGCUCAACUGUGGAAUUGCCUUUGAUACUAGCAGGCUUGAAUACUGUUGCCGUGGGAGGAAUGAGUAGUGUAGCGGUGAAAUGCAUAGAUAUUACUCAGAACACCGAUUGCGAAGGCAUCUCACGAAGCAGGCAUUGACGCUGAGGCACGAWAGCSUKGUAUCAAACAGGAUUAGAUACCCUGGUAGUCCACGC